UGGGGAAUAUUGCACAAUGGGCGCAAGCCUGAUGCAGCCAUGCCGCGUGUGUGAAGAAGGCCUUCGGGUUGUAAAGCACUUUCAGCGAGGAGGAAGGUGGUGAGCUUAAUACGCUCAUCAAUUGACGUUACUCGCAGAAGAAGCACCGGCUAACUCCGUGCCAGCAGCCGCGGUAAUACGGAGGGUGCAAGCGUUAAUCGGAAUUACUGGGCGUAAAGCGCACGCAGGCGGUUUGUUAAGUCAGAUGUGAAAUCCCCGGGCUCAACCUGGGAACUGCAUUUGAAACUGGCAAGCUAGAGUCUCGUAGAGGGGGGUAGAAUUCCAGGUGUAGCGGUGAAAUGCGUAGAGAUCUGGAGGAAUACCGGUGGCGAAGGCGGCCCCCUGGACGAAGACUGACGCUCAGGUGCGAAAGCGUGGGGCAGCAAACAGGAUUAGAUACCCUGGUAGUCCACGCUGUAAACGAUGUCGAUUUUGGAGGUUGUGCCCUUGAGGCGUGGCUUCCGGAGCUAACGCGUUAAAUCGACCGCCUGGGGAGUACGGCCGCAAGGUUAAAACUUAAAGGAAUUGAC
rnacentral:rRNA from 1 species